GCUCCGGCAGUGCAGGAGUUAGCACGUGUUUCCUGGAAGGAUGUGACGCGGGUUCAACUCCCGCCUAAGGUU